ACCGACAUUCAUGACUACGACGUCAAGAUGCGCAACGUCGUGCGGUUUCUCGAGAACGGCGACAAGGUGAAGAUCACCUUGCGGUUUCGCGGCCGCGAGAUGGCGCACCAGAACCUCGGGCGCGAGUUGCUUGAGCGCGUGGCUGAAGACAUCAAGGAACUCGGCAAGGUCGAGAACAUGCCGAAGAUGGAAGGCCGCCAGAUGAUCAUGAUGAUCGGUCCGAUCUCGCGCUGAUCACUUUCGAGCCUGUCGGCAAGAAAAAACCCCCGCCUUGGCGGGGGUUUGUCUUUUUGGGCAGCGGAGCAGGGCGGGGAUCGCCCCGGCCC
rnacentral:misc_RNA from 1 species